rnacentral:rRNA from 1 species
AGCGAACGCUGGCGGCAGGCUUAACACAUGCAAGUCGAGCGGGCACCUUCGGGUGUCAGCGGCAGACGGGUGAGUAACACGUGGGAACGUACCCUUCGGUUCGGAAUAAGCCAGGGAAACUUGGUCUAAUACCGGAUACGCCCUUACGGGGAAAGAUUUAUUGCCGAAGGAUCGGCCCGCGUCUGAUUAGCUAGUUGGUGAGGUAAUGGCUCACCAAGGCGACGAUCAGUAGCUGGUCGAGAGGAUGAUCAGCCACACUGGGACUGAGACACGGCCCAGACUCCUACGGGAGGCAGCAGUGGGAAUAUUGGACAAUGGGCGAAAGCCUGAUCCAGCCAUGCCGCGUGAGUGAUGAAGGCCCUAGGGUU